GCUCCCUUAACUCAGCUGGAUAGAGUAGCGGACUUCUAAUCCGAAUGUCGAGGGUUCGAAUCCCCCAGGGAGCACCA
rnacentral:tRNA from 12 species